GACGAACGCUGGCGGCGUGCUUAACACAUGCAAGUCGAGCGGUAAGGCCCUUUCGGGGGUACACGAGCGGCGAACGGGUGAGUAACACGUGAGCAACCUACCCUCAACUUCGGGAUAAGCCUCGGAAACGGGGUCUAAUACCGGAUAUCACUUCGAAUCUCAUGGUUCGGGGUUGAAAGUUCUGGCGGUUGGGGAUGGGCUCGCGGCCUAUCAGCUUGUUGGUGGGGUAAUGGCCUACCAAGGCGUCGACGGGUAGCCGGCCUGAGAGGGCGACCGGCCACACUGGGACUGAGACACGGCCCAGACUCCUACGGGAGGCAGCAGUGGGGAAUAUUGCGCAAUGGACGAAAGUCU
rnacentral:rRNA from 1 species